rnacentral:misc_RNA from 1 species
UGCAAGUUUCAAGCUAACCUUGCUUAGUCCGCCAUAUUUUAUUUCACAGUAAGGGAAAAUCACAAAAUUAUCGUUUUUAAAAAUGUGAAAUAGUGCAAGAUAUAAUUUUAUACGUUCAAGUAAUAAUGGCAAAACAAAACGACAUUAAUUUCUACGUUUCUUCGUCUUCAAUGGAACAUGAUUCUGAAAAGUCUUUUGUGAAGAAAGUAAAAUCACGCGUUUCUGACCUCAUUCCGGCUUCUAUAAGCAAGUGGUUUGGCAGUGAGGAUAAUUCUGGACGAUCCAGGGAAGAUGAUGGUGAUAUCUAUCAAGUCGAACCACCAUUGAAACGAGCCAGGAUCCCAUCUAGGGAAAAAAUUGAAAAUAGUUUGUCAAACAACUUCUCCACAACUACUCCACACAUACACUAUGCACCAGUUAGUGGUUUGGAUGUUAUAAGUGACAAUUGUGUUAGCGUUAAUAAUAAAAAGGCUUCCAAGCGUAUGCUUAAUAGUUUGUCUGAGCCGGAAGCAGGUCCUUCAGGUAUCAAGUCAAGGAAAUUGUUAAUUUCUAGUGGUGUUACAGUGCAAACAGAUCAGAGAAAGCUUACUGAAACUAAUAUAAACGGUGACAAGAAUUCUGAUAGUGAUGAAUCUACAAGUGAUUACUCCUCGAUGGCUAGAAAUGGUAGUAGAGAAGCCACUAUAAGUAAAAAACCUCACAUAGAGGAGUUCAAGUCUCAUGAUUCUAAUCCAAGCCGGGAAAUAAGAGAAAGAUCAGUAAUUAGCCAAACUCGAUCGCUGUUCAGUGAGAGAGGUGUCAGUCCACAUUCUAACUCUUCCCUUAGUUCUCGAAGGCCAUCAUUCAACGCUUCUACCUUUGGCUCCCCAGAUUUUGUGGACAGAACCCUGACAACCAAAAGAAUAAUACAUUCACCAUUUUACGGUGGCCGUACAACAUACGGAGGGGCAUCUGCCUAUUCUCAUAGACUGAAGAAAAACGCCGAUAUUAAGAAUUCUCUUCGAAACGCAUUUGAAGUGAAACCAGCUAACGAAUCUGUAAAAACCGAGAAUGCCACAUUAAGCAAAACGGCCAGGCGAAUUUUGGACACUCUAGAACAGUAUACGACACCCGUUUCGGAGGCCAAGAAAAUACCGAACCCUUCGUUACGAAGGGGUACUACAAAGAGGGAUGGCCUUUUAUCAAAAUAUACAGGAGCAAAUCCUUACUUUGUACGCGAACCUAAAAACACACCUUCAAGUAAGGAACUUCAAGUUCCCACAGUCCCUGAUUUAUUAAAAAUGAAAUUAAAAGAAAAACUACAAGAUAGUACUGUUGCUGUGAGACAGAUAGCUGCUACUUCAAAGGCUGCUCAAAACGCAGAUGAAUACAAACUGAGAGAUAAAGACGACGAACAGGCAACAUCGAAACACGUGAACAAAAUGAGAAAUAAAGUGUCGAAUAUACGAAAACGAACAACCGACACAAUGGAACAGGAAAAGGUGGAGCAAGUAAAACUACCAGACAUUGCGUUACCCAUUACUACGUUGCCCAAGUUUGAUUUUGGCAUCUUACCCACCACGUCGGCAUCUGGGAUGGUAACAAAAGCAGUUACCACCACGUCAACGCGAGUAGUUACGAAAGAAACUGAAACUGAAACGGACGAGGGAACCAAAAGGGAAAAACAAGUCACGAAGAUAUCCAUCACCAACGAGUCAAAGAAGAUCACAAGCGAAGAACCGAAACUAUUCGAAGUGAAUGAUGCGCCAUUCAAAUUUGCAAAACCUGUUGUAUUGUUAUCGAAUAAUUUAAAGAGUAUAAUUGGCAGCAACGACUUCGUCUUUAGUAAGCCAUUGAACCAGAAAGAAGAAGUUCAAAAUAACUUCAAGUCCUCGUCCAGUAAAUACGAAUUAAAACGAAAAUCUCAGAGCGGAAUCAAUUUUCUUCAGACGGCGAAAAUGGACCUUAUGAGUGCAUUUAAACCAUCAGCCAACACUUGGGAAUGUAACGUAUGUCUAAUAAGAAACGUACAAGACAGAGACAAGUGUGCUGCAUGUCAGGCCGAAAGGGCAUCGAAACCGCUGCCUACUGCUACUGCUUCUAUAAAAAACCACGAUUUUGGUAACAAAUUUAAACUGACGUCGGAUGUCAGAAACAAGAAUAUGGACACAAAUUGUGUGGCAAGUACGACUCCAAAACCUAUUAUUGAAAAUUCUUUUUUGCAUACAACCAAUGAAGGUUUCGGAGACAAAUUUAAACCUCCAUCAGAUACAUGGGUGUGCGGUGUUUGUAUGAUUAGAAAUAAAAAUGACUUAGACAAAUGUGCGGCUUGUGAAUCGCCCAAUCCAAACGCGCCCAAAAAGUCAACUAGUUUUGCGGACGCAUUUAAAAUGAAAAAGGAUGAAUGGGAAUGCCCCAUUUGUAUGGUCAGAAAUCCAGAAACUAAAGGCAAGUGCGCAUGUUGCGAGACCCCUCGUCCAAAACUUCAAUCAACGGAUAAGUCAGUUUCUGAAAAUAAAAACACUAUGUCCACAUUCAAUUUUGGAAUUAAUGACGCUGUCGGCGUUGUCACAUCCAAAGGGUUUACGUUUGGCAUUCCUAAGGACUUGAGAGAGACAGAAAAGACAUCAAAGCAAGACUUCUCCUUUGGAGUACCUAAUGAGAAAAACGUGUCUGCUUCGGAUGAAACCAAGCCUGUGCUUUUCAAUGGGGCGACCAAUAACAACAAAAAGGACACAGAGACAUCGGAAUCGAAUAAUAAUUCUAAACCUACUUUUUGUUUCGGAAUUACGACUACAUCUUCUGUUGCCACCCCCUCAUCGAAAUCUGUUGUAAGUACAGCGAAUUCCACCGAAACAACGGUUACGAGUAGUACAACUAUCACCACCACUUCCAGUUUCGGUUUUACCACCAAGACGUUAGAAUCGUCAGCUCCUUCGUCUUUCGUUUUCGGCGCUUCUACAGUGAAAGAUUUUGAUUCGAAGGCGCCAACUGAAACUAACGUAAUUCCCACACCCAUAUUCAAACAUGUUCCAGAAAAAAAGUCGGAUUCUUCUGCCACUAUUACGUCGACGAUGUUUGCAAACAAGGCAGACUCUAGCACGACGAAAACGAAUACGGUCCCUGCUCCAGUACCCGGAUUGAGAAGCCCAGCAACAACAAACAAGCCGUCGUCUAUAUUCGGAACAUCGGCGAAGCCAGAUUCGAGCACAUCGAUAUUUGGGUCGCCAGCUCCUCCUAAGGUAGAAGUGCCGGCGCCUAUUUUUGGAUCGUCCACUUUUGGAAAACCAACACCAGUUGCAUUUGGAACAGCUAAACCGGACUCCAGUACAUCAUCAAUUUUUGGUAGCAACAACAGCACUGGAGAUACAGACAACAAACAAAAAACCGAUGCGGUUUUUAAAUUCGGUACAACACCAACUCAGGCAAUUUCAUUUGGUGGAGCCUCGUCUUCUUUUCAAACGACUCCGUUCAUUACGUCGUCUAUUCCUGCUCCUACUUUUAGAAUGCCUGUAACAUCUACGACCGACCAAGGAGCGUUUUGUUUUGGUCAAGAUACGUCUACGAAACCGUUUAAUUAUGGACAACAGCCACAGCAAACUACGGAAGUAACGAAACCUGCUGCAGGUUAUUCCUUCGAGCAACAAGGAAAUAAGCAGCAACAAGAACAAAAAUUCAAUUUUGGUAGCAACAGUACUUCGUCGGCAGGAUUUAGUUUUGGUGCAAGCAGUAAUCCAACGGUCGGUGGUCCUGGUUUUAAUUUCAAACCGAUGUUUGAUUCUUCACAGCAGCAGCAGCAGCAGCAACAAACUACUAGUAUAUUUGGAAAUAGUUCCGCUACAGCGGCGUCCUCGGUUGUUUCCCAACAGCCUCCUCAACUUUUACAGAACGGCGGAUUCAAUUUUGGAAACGUUCCACCCAAGGGAGGUUUUAAUUUUGCACCUCAAUCAGGACCAUCUGCUGCGCCUGGAGUAUUUAGCUUCGGUGGUACGGGUACUAACGCGGUUCCAGAAGCACCGGGAAAUAGUGGGGGUUUCAGUUUCGGAUCUACUCAGUUUAACGCAAAUGUAAAGCCCAAUUUCAAUUUCACUGGUGCUGUACCACCCACAUUUUCUGCAACCACCGAUCCAUCAUCGUCAGUACCAGCAGGACGGAAAAAGAUCAAAGCAGUUCGUCGAAAUCAGCAACGAUAGCUUAGGAGCUAAGGCCUCGGGCCGGGGACGAGACCUUAGUACAUAUUAUUGAAUAGUGAAGAAUUCAUUUUCAUUCGUGUGGAUUUUUAUUCGAAGAAAAAUGUUGACAACUAUUACGAAUUAAUCAAUCCAAAAGAGAAAAGAGAAUUCAGUUGACUCGACGAAUGAUAAAUUUAAGUUUUUUUUUUUUUAUUUUCUAGCUUGAAACACAUACAUUAUACUCUUAUUUUCCAAAGUAGUUGUGGCAAAUUGCUGUAUUAAAGAGAAUUAAUAAUAAUUAAUCUUAGUAAUAGUUGUAAUAAUAAUGAUAAUUGUUAAUUAAAUGUAGCCGCUUAUAUUUACAAACGGUCUGAUCCAUAGAAUUGUAGAAUUUUAUAUUGAUAAAUAUUGGGAUGAUGAGUAAUUUCAUCUGUUAUAAGGUGCGAUAGUUUAUUUUAGAAAUUUGGAAUAUAAUAUACAAAAUAUAUAAAUAUUGCUAUGUAAUAUUUAUAUAAUUCGCCGUAUUGGCUGUUCUUACUGUGAUAUUCUCAUGGGUCAGGCCUCCCCCAUUACGUAAUAUUAGAUCGGUUAUUAUUACUAUGAUAAUGAAAAAACUAAUAAUAACGAUAAAAAGAUACACUCACACAGGCAAAAGUAUUACAGAAGGUGGGAGUAAAUAUCUUUUUUAGCGAUGAAUGGUUAAGGGAGAGGAAAAGUGACGUGAAAGGGUAACAUAAAACAAUAAACGAAAUUGUUACCUAUUUAUAUUUUUGACUAUAUCUGAAUCUGAAGUUUGAAAGUAGAAGUUAACUGUCUGUUCUAUGAUAACAAAACUGUUAAAGAGUUACGUGCUGAGGUUUUGUCUGUGUCGAUGUAUUUUUUUGAAAGUAGGCUCACUCCUUAAGUUCCUCCAAACAAAAGAAGAAAAAAGAAAAGAUGUUUAAUUUGUAUCUAGUUUUUCCUCAUCUUAUUUUUUUAUUAUUUGUAAAUACCAUGCUUAUACACACGAUCAACAACACAACUAUUUUUAUAUAAUUCUUGUUUUCAUCAGAGACAUAUUUUUCGAAUACGUACAUAUUUUUUAAACGUUAAGUUGCAAUACUUUAGGUGUAAAAACAGUAGUACCUGUUGAUGCUGUACAUUAUUAUCUGGGUUUUCGUUUAAUAUUUGAAAUUGAAUGUGCUCCUUAAUGCAGCUUCUUAAUGUAGUCGUCUUUUUCGCGCGAUGAUGCACUUGUUAGAAAAUCAAAAAAAUAAUAGAAAACCUUUAUUGCUCAGUAAACAUCCACUAGAUCACCUUUUCCUUUUUAAAUGUGAACUCGACAACUAUAAUAAUUUGUAAUAAACAACGCCAUGGGGCAAUCGGCUCCGCAAGAAAUUUACUCAUAUUUUUAGGAAAUACUUCAUUGAUUUAGAAAAAGAAGGACUCUUGUUACAAUAGCAGCUGAUGAUGUGUAACAUUUAAUCUUAGUAACAAAAUUUUCGUAAAAAUAUUACGCCAGGUAUUGAUUGAACUGAUUUUACAUAUUUAGUAUUAAUUUUUCAUAACGUAUUUAGAAAAAUUGCAUGAGUGUUCAAAGCUAGUAGUUUAAUAUCAGCAUAACGAGCGGUUGACAGUCAUGUCUUCUUUCUUUUUCUUCAAGCCCUAACAAAACUGAAUAGUGCGCACUUCUACUUCCUUGCUUCCGUCGAAUGAAAUUAUUCCCAUACCCUAGCGAUAAAAUAUUACACAUCGAAAAAAAAAUGUACUAAUUUUGAUUCAAAUUUAAUGUGUUAUUGAUAGUAUCAAAAUCUUGCCUAAAGAAGAUAUAGUCUUUUUUUUUUUCGAAAGUCAGCUAGUUUAAAAUUUUCAGAUAUCUACAAUUUUGGUAUCUUGAUAAGAAGCUUGCGAGGUCUUAAAUUAAUUUCAGUUUAAAAAACUAGUAACAAUUAUGAUUGAUUCCUUACGAGAUGUAUAUAAUUAUGUAGUUUAAUAACAGCUGAAAUCGUAUGAAUGUUAAAAAAAUACACAUGUAAUAUUGUAAGUCAAUGAAUACUAAUUAUAUUUAAAUUCAUGGUUAUUUUUCUUAGUUCUAUUUUAAGUGUCAAUUGAAUGUUUUUUCUUUUAUAAAAAGUUCUAAAUACCUAUCUUCAUCCUUACUAUUGCUUAAGGAUUUUUUGCUAUAUAAUAUAAAACGUUAUACAUAUGUACCAAACGAACUGAAUACCUUCUCUAAUAAUAUUUUUGUGAUGUUUUAAAUUGAUUUAUACUUAAGUGAGAUGAGUAGAUGUGCUAUUGAAUUUAGUUUGAUAUCAAUGUUUCUAAAAAAUAUUUGUGUUGUAACAUUGUUGAGAGGCUGUAUCCGAAGCCAAGUGAAAAGGAGUUAGACUGCUUGUGUAAAUAGUAAACAAAAAAAACUACUUUUGAGUAAAUGGCUAUUUUUAGCUGAAGAUUUCAUUUGUACCUACUUUAUAAACUUUUUUGUUAAUUAAUUAACUGCUCGCAACAUGGAAUUUUCAGCAUGUUUGUGCCUUUUUAUUUUUUUUUUAUUUAUUUUUAUUCGUCUCUGUUACUACUUGAACAUAAAUAUGUAUUUUGGGGCCUAGUCCAAUUUUAUAAUGAAUAUUCUGGUUUUGUUUUUUCGUUUUUAUUACCAUUAUUAUGUAAAUCUACAUACCACGCUCCUACGAUCACAACCAUGCAGCAUUCCUUAUAAAAACUGUUGUAGUAUUUCAUGUUUUAAUUUUUUUCAUAGUGAAGUUUGAAUUGAUAAUUUGUGUUAAUGACAUUACAGGAAUUUACUGUUAUUAACUACAAAGUUUCCUUCUAAAAUUGGCCAUUGAAGACGCAAACUAAAUGUAUUAAGGAUAUAAUUGAAUAAAAGUUUCGAAAUAUGUCCCGA